rnacentral:snRNA from 2 species
AUACUUACCUGGUGCUGGGACUACCCUGAUCUAGGGUGCCUUCAUGUGCGCCCUACCCUGAUCAGUCCCCAGGCGCGGUCAUUGCACUUCGACCAUCCUGACGCCUGCCACUAUCCCAAACUGGGGCGGAUGGGGCAUGCAAUUUUUGGUAUAGCGCGGGGACUGCGUUCGCGCUACCCCUUU